rnacentral:miRNA from 1 species
AAUCUACUUCUCCCGCCGCAGGGAAAAAAGGCGGGAGAAGCCCCGGCAGAAAUUAAUUGCUCC